AGUGAACGCUGGCGGUAGGCCUAACACAUGCGAGUCGAACGGCAGCACAGUAAGAGCUUGCUCUUACGGGUGGCGAGUGGCGGACGGGUGAGGAAUACAUCGGAAUCUACUUUUUCGUGGGGGAUAACGUAGGGAAACUUACGCUAAUACCGCAUACGACCUACGGGUGAAAGCAGGGGAUCUUCGGACCUUGCGCGAUUGAAUGGGCCGAUGUCGGAUUAGCUAGUUGGCGGGGUAAAGGCCCACCAAGGCGACGAUCCGUAGCUGGUCUGAGAGGAUGAUCGCCCCCCCGGAACCUGGGCACCGGCCCUGCCUCCUAGGGAGGCCGCAGGCGGGAAAAUUUGGCAAUUGGGGGAAAGCCUGUCCCACCAAUCCGGGGGGGGUGAAGAGGCCCUCCGGGUGGUAAGGCCGUUUUGUGGGGAAAAAAAGCAGCCGGGUUAAUCCCCGCCUGUCUGACGGUAACCAAAAAAGAAGCACCGGCUAACUUCGUG
rnacentral:rRNA from 1 species